UUUUACCAAGGCUUUGACUUGAAUGGCAUGCUUCCUUUAAAGAAUCAAAGUGGACUUUUAGAGCCAAUUAAAGCCCAUUGGGGCAUCUGGCCUUAUACCUUGUCCACACAGGGUGCCUGUACAAGGUUUCUGAUCUGUGCAGGAAGAAGCCAAAGUGAUCAACAGCCUUUUCCCAUCUUCAUAGCCUACACCUUAAGAUUGAGGUAUUAUAAAACCCAAAGGGAGGGAUUGAAACUACCUUUGCAAAAGUAUGGCUGAGACAGUGAAAGGGAUCUAACUUAACUGACUCCAUCUUGCUUCUAACCUCCAAGUUGUCCUUGUUCAUUCCUGGGCAUAGGCUGAACUAACUUUGGGAGAAACUUAGUUUAUAGUUUAAACAAAGAUGGUAACAGCCCUUUCCCAAAGCAGACCUCCUUCUUCCCUGGGGACUAGAUUGCCUUCGUAGGACUAACAUUAGCCACAAGAUUAGAAAUUAUGGUUUAGGAGUCAUGAAGCUGGAGGCUACAAAAUUCUGACCCUCCCUAAACUGCUCCUAAGAUCAGGGCUUGAGAUAUUUUGCAGACCCUGUACUUGAUGGAUCAGCUGGCAUCACUCAGAUCAAUAAACUGGCUCACCUGAUCUUGUGGCCCCCGACCCAGGAACUGACUCAUCACAAGCAGACAGCUUUGACUCCCUAUGAUUUCAUCCCUGACCAAUCAGCACUCCUGGCUCACUGGCUUCCCCCCACCCACCAAGUUAUCCUUAAAAACUCUGCUCCCCAGGCCAGGUGCAGUGGCUCAUGCCUGUAAUCCUAGCACUUUGGGAGGCCAAGGUGGGCGAAUGCUGGGGGAGACUGAUUUGAGUAAUAAUAAAACUCCAGUCUCCCCCAUGGCCGGGCCUGUGUGAAUUACUCUUUCUCUAUUAUAAUUCCCUGUCUUGAUGAAUUGGCUCUUGUCUAGGCAGUGGGUAAGGUGAACCCCUUGGGCAGUUACAGUCUCUUUUGCUGACUUCUAGAAAUUAUAUUAAC
rnacentral:lncRNA from 1 species